CGCCUGUUUAUCAAAAACAUGUCUGUUUGUAGGUAGAAACAGUCUGGCCUGCUCACUGAGAUAUAAAUUAAAGAGCCGCGGUAUAUUGACCGUGCAAAGGUAGCAUAAUCAUUAGUUUUUUAAUUGGGAACUUGUAUGAAUGGUUGGACAAGAGAAAAGCUGUCUAUAUUAUAAAUUUUGAAUUUAACUUUUAAGUGAAAAGGCUUAAAUAAUUUAAGGGGACGAUAAGACCCUAUAAAACUUUAUAUGUUAAUUAGAUUUAGUUGUAUUUUAAAAAUUAAGUUUAAUGUCGUAUUUUAUUGGGGCGAUAAAGGUAUAAAUAAUAUUAACUGUUUAGAAUAAAAACAAUAGUUUUUGAAUUAAAUAAAUGAUCCUUUGCUAAAGAAUAAAAGACUAAGUUACUUUAGGGAUAACAGCGUAAUUUUUUUUAAGAGUUCAUAUCGAAAAAGAAGAUUGCGACCUCGAUGUUGAAUUAAAAUGUCUGUUUAGGGCAGCUCCUAAACAAGAAGAUCUGUUCGAUCUUUAAAUUUUUACAUGAUCUGAGUUCAAACCGG
rnacentral:rRNA from 1 species